CCUACGGGAGGCUGCAGUGGGGAAUAUUGGACAAUGGGCGAAAGCCUGAUCCAGCCAUGCCGCGUGUGUGAAGAAGGCCUUCGGGUUGUAAAGCACUUUCAGUGGGGAAGAAAGCCUUGGGGCUAAUACCCUCGAGGAAGGACAUCACCCACAGAAGAAGCACCGGCUAACUCCGUGCCAGCAGCCGCGGUAAUACGGAGGGUGCGAGCGUUAAUCGGAAUUACUGGGCGUAAAGCGCGCGUAGGCGGUCUGAUAAGCCGGUUGUGAAAGCCCCGGGCUCAACCUGGGAACGGCAUCCGGAACUGUCAGGCUAGAGUGCAGGAGAGGAAGGUAGAAUUCCCGGUGUAGCGGGGAAAUGCGUAGAGAUCGGGAGGAAUACCAGUGGCGAAGGCGGCCUUCUGGACUGACACUGACGCUGAGGUGCGAAAGCGUGGGUAGCAAACAGGAUUAGAUACCCUUGUAGUC
rnacentral:rRNA from 1 species